rnacentral:rRNA from 1 species
CCUACGGGAGGCAGCAGUGGGGAAUAUUGCGCAAUGGGCGAAAGCCUGACGCAGCGACGCCGCGUGAGGGAUGAAGGUCUUCGGAUCGUAAACCUCUGUCAGCAGGGAAGAACGGUCACUGUGCUAAUCAGCAGUGAAUUGACGGUACCUGCAAAGGAAGCACCGGCUAACUCCGUGCCAGCAGCCGCGGUAAUACGGAGGGUGCGAGCGUUAAUCGGAAUUACUGGGCGUAAAGCGCUCGUAGGCGGUAUGUCAAGUCAAGGGUGAAAUCCCCGCGCUCAACGUGGGAACUGCCUUUGAAACGGGCAAACUGGAGUGUGUGAGAGGAUAGUGGAAUUCCAGGUGUAGGAGUGAAAGCCGUAGAUAUCUGGAGGAACAUCAGUGGCGUAGGCGACUAUCUGGCACAUAACUGACGCUGAGGAGCGAAAGCGUGGGUAGCAAACAGGAUUAGAUACCCCAGUAGUC